rnacentral:rRNA from 1 species
GCUUGUCUCAAAGAUUAAGCCAUGCAUGUCUAAGUAUAGUACCUUAUACUGCGAAACUGCGAAUGGCUCAUUAAAUCAGUUAUAAUUCAUUUGAUGGUACUUACUACUCGGAUAACCGUAGUAAUUCUAGAGCUAAUACAUGCACAAAAUCCCGACUUCACGGAAGGGAUGUAUUUAUUAGAUAAAAAACCAAUCCGGCAACGGUGCUUGGUGAUUCAUAAUAACUGUUCGAAGCGCACGGCCUCGCGCCGGCGCUAGUUCAUUCAAAUUUCUGCCCUAUCAGCUUUCGACGGUAGUGUAGUGGACUACCGUGGCGCUAACGGGUGACGGAGAAUUAGGGUUCGGUUCCGGAGAGGGAGCCUGAGAAACGGCUACCACAUCCAAGGAAGGCAGCAGG